GGCGGUGUGGACGGGGAGUGGGAAAGCGGGCCGCGCGAACCGGGGGUUGUGGACACGGGAGCGGACGGCGGGGGCUGGGCAGCAGGUCGUAAGCUGUGUGGACCGGGAGUGGGAGAGCGGAUGAUGUGGAUUGGAGAGCAGGAGGCGUGGAUGGUGAUGCGGGGGGCAAGGGCGGCGUGGACGGAGAGCGGCAGGGAGCAGGCAGUGUAGACCGGGCUUGGGAGAGUGGGUGGUGUGGCUCCCGGAGCGGGCGAUAUGGAUCGGGUAGUGGGAAAGCGGGCGGUGUGGACAGGAGAGUGGCGAGGCGCCAGUGGUGAUAGAGGAAAAGGGCGGCGUGGACGGAGAGCGGCAGGGGGCAGGCGGCUUAAACCCGGAGUGGGAGAGUGGGUGGCGUGGCGCCAGGAGCGGGCGGUGUGGAUGGCGAGGCGGAGGGCAGGGGCGGCGUGGAUCCGGACCGGCCUGGGAGAAGCGGGACUGGCUCUGCUGCCCCUUCCCCGGAGGCGUGGCUGGUGUGACCCUGGCAGCGACGCAUGACCAUUGCAAAUAUCGAUCCCACCCCUGUGCUGCACAAACCCACAGCCCACAGCUCCGGGGGCCCCUGUAAGUCUCUUCUGGUGGCUGCUGGAGCCAUAAUUUCUUUUGGGGGCGGGGAGACUUGGAAGAAAGGGUCGAAUUUUUCGUUAAAACCUGUCUGAGAUUUGCUGCCAGGUGGUAGUUCUGAAAAGAGCCAAUAGUGUGCCCCAGUCCUCCAGGUCCACUCAGGGAACCCGCCCCGGAGCACUUACAGUGCCCCCAACAAGCUGGGGAAGUACCAGGAGGGAGCGUCUGGACCCGGCAGGGUGGGCUCUUGAAAUACACACCUUGACCCGUGUGAUUCUGGAAGGUUUGGGAAUACCACCACCCUGGCCAGGGCAACUGAGGCCAGACUGCUCCCUGACUCUCCCCACCCUGGGGGCUUGGUGGCCUGCUGACUGACCUCCAUCAAAAGUGCAUGCGGGCUGGCAGGCACCUGGGUAGAUCAGUGGGUUAAGCCUCCGACUCUUGAUUUUGGCUCAGGUCAUGCCCCCCCAGGGUGGUGAGAUCCAGCCACACUUUGAGCUCUGUGCUGGGCUUGGAAAUCUGCUUAAGAUUCUCUCUCGCUCUCCUUUUGUCCCUCUCCCCCACUCGCCGGCUCGCUUGCUCUCUCUCUCAAAACAAAACCCCAAAACGUGUGGCCACAGAAUGUUAGAAGGGACUAGAGGAGUCUUUUAGUCUCCGGAGCAGAGCAGUAAAACUGUCUUCCUCAUUUCUGCCCGGCAGAAAGUUCCACUGAUAAAGUGCAAGAAGGGAUAAGCAGAUGGAAAAAGGAUUUGAAAUUGACAUCAGACAGGACUCAUUUGCCUCCUACAUGGGAAGCUCCUAGGAAUCAACAGGAAAAAGGUAAAGAACCCAAUAGAAAAACGGACAGUUCCCAGUAGAGGAAAUACAAUGGCUCAGGGCGCCUGGGCGGCUCAGUGGUUAAGCCUCCAAUGUCAGCUCAUGUCGUGACUUCUCGGUCGUGGGUUCCAGCCCCGCGUCGGGCGCUGUGCUGAAAAUUCGGAGCCUGGAGCCUGCUUCAGAUUCUGUGUAGGUGUGUGUGUCUCUCUCAAAAACAAACAAACAUUAAAAAAGUUUAAAAAAAGCAAGCAAGCAGGCAUAGUGGCUCUUAAGCUUAAGCAAAGCUCUUCAACUCUACUGCUACGGGAGAAAAAGCAAAGUGGCAGCACAAUCAUUUUCACCUGUUACAUUAGCAGAUUUGGCUUUUUUUUAAAGCUUAAUAGCAUUAUUUUGAAGAGAGUGUAUAAAAUGAGCUGUCUCAUCCUUUCCUGGUGGGAGAAUAAUUUGGUAUAACCCCCAUGGGGGCCCUUGGUUAAUAUGGAAAUUCUAAAUGCAUAGAGCCUACGGCACGGCAGUCCCACGAGCAGAAAUGUGUUCUCAGCUAGACUCAAUUGUAUGAAUGGGUAUGUGUGCAAGCUUGGUGAUAAGUGAGGGCCCAUUGAAACGGCGUGGCAAGAGGGCAGAAGGCUGAGCGGCUGCCCUGGGAGCAAGCUGAGUGUGGCCCGGGUGCCCCGCCCGAGCUUCUGUCUCCGCCCCUCCCUGACAAUCUGCAGUGGCUUCCUGAUGGCUUGUACUGUGGGGCUGAACCUCAGCCUGCCACACCUUUCUUGAUCAUCACCUCCACACCCUUCCCCUGCUCACACCCGCCCCAGCUGUGGAAUCCCAACCUCCCUCCAGCCCUCUGUUCCUCAGUCACAUCUUCAGGGUCUUUUGUACGUAUUCCCUCUACCCUGGAAUGCUCUCUGGGGACUUUCCGCCACCGUCUGUCUCUUCAGCAUUCGGGUCUCUGUUCAGUCCCCGAGAGCCGUAGACUGACCCCUGCAGCCUGCAGCUAACGCACACCCCUCCCCUACCCCCGCCCCUCUAGUGACCUCACAGUUCUCGAAUGCCCAGGUGGCUGGCCGCCGAGGCCUCUGCACAUCAAACACGGGUAGGACAGCAGAGCGGAAACCUGUACAACCCGAAGACCUGACCCCGUCUAAAGCCAUUUCUCGUGUCGGUUUGUGCAGCACAGGGGUGGAAUCGAUAUUUGCAAUGGUCAUCGCAUCUUCAAAAGAAUUCCCAACGGGUUCAGUAUAUUCCUUCCGUGAAAGUUGGAAGGAUUAAGCUGCCUUUUAAGGCAGAUUUAUAUCCAAGGUUUUUUUUAGUGUUUAUUUAUUUGGGGGGGAGGGGCAGAGAAAGGGGAGCAGAACUCAGAAUCCGAAGCAGGCUCCAGGCUCUGAGCUGUCAGCACAAGAGCCCGACGCGGGGCUCGAACCCAGGAACCGCGAGAUCCUGACCUGAGCUGAAGUCCGAUGCUUAACUGACUGAGCCGCCCAGGUGCCCCUAUAUCCAGAAUUUUAAAGUGUUUUUUUAAAAAAACUUAAAAAAAAAAAAAACAUUGUUUCUGAAAGUGUCAAAUUUUAUUAUUUUUUAAAACGUCUAUUUAUUUUGAGAGAGAGAGAGAGUGAGUGAGCAGGGAAAGGGGGAGGGAGAAGAUCCCAAGCAGGCUCCGUGCCACCAGCUCAGAGCCUGACAUGUGGCUCGAACUCCCAAAACCAUGAGAUCACAACCUGAGCCAAAAUCAAGAGUCAGACACUUAACCAACUGAGCCACCCAGGCACCCCUCAAAUUUUACUCUUAAGAACAAAACAAUGCGGAAGCCUUGCCUAAAAAAAAAAAAAAGAAAGAAACCACGUGUAGAAGAUGUUCCUUGGGCAGCUUGUGGCCUCUGACUCUGGAUAGUGGUAUUGCAUCAGCGUCCUGUUUCCCAAGCACGACAGCUACUGGGUGUGUGAUGUGGAGACGCCGUCCUUCUUGGAAAAUGCACUCUGAAGAAGUCAGGGCGGAACACGAUGUCUCCAGCACUCGUUCAGUUGAUCGCUAGAUGAUAGGUGCGCUGUCCUGAGCCCUGGGGAUACGCCCAGGAGCCAGCGUAGGAGGCCGUGAUCUGGGGUCAAGUGACAGGGACUUGGAAGAGGUGCCCCGUGCUCUGCGUCAUCCUUGGUGGCCGAAGCUGCUUCACGGAGCAGACCCCACCCUACGUGCCUCGGGCUGUCUUGAAAUGUCUGUUUCGGGCUUGUUUCCGACUCACAAGCCCUCAGCGUGGUGCGCCUCGACCUGCCUGCAGGAUGUCAGCUAGCAAAACAGGGAA